UACGAAGGGGCUAGCGUUGCUCGGAAUCACUGGGCGUAAAGGGUGCGUAGGCGGGUUUUAAGUCAGGGUGAAAUCCUGGAGCUCAACUCCAGAACUGCCUUUGAUACUGAAGAUCUAGAGUCCGGGAGGGCGAGUGGAAUUCCUGGUGUAGCGGUGAAAUGCGCAGAUAUCAGGAGGAACACCAAUGGCGAAGGCAGCUCGCUGGAACGGAACUGACGCUGAGGCGCGAAAGCGUGGGGAGCGAACAGG
rnacentral:rRNA from 1 species